rnacentral:rRNA from 1 species
ACCCGCUGAAUUUAAGCAUAUAAGUAAGUGGUGGAAAUUAAACCAAAUGGGAUUCCUUAAGUAAUUGCGAAUGAGCAAGGACAUGCUUAGCUUGACAAUUGGAGCCUCUGGCUUCGACUUGUAUUUUUGAAAUGUAUUACCAACAGAGGUGCAGGUGUCAGCCUAUUGAAAGAAAGCGUCAAUGAGGGUGAGAAUCCUGUUUGUCAUGUGCAAUCCUCUGUGCACGGUGUAUGUUUGCUGAGUCACACUCCUUGGCAUUGGAAUGCAAAGUGGGUGGUAAGUUUCAUGUAAAGGUAAAUAUAGGAUUGAGACUGAUAGCACACAAGUACCAUGAGGGAAAUAUGAAAAGGACUUUGAAAAGAGAAUUAAAUGAGUUUGUAUUUGCUGAACAGAAAAUAAACAGAUUUGAUGUUGCUUGGUGAGAUUGUGGUGCUUGCUUGACAAUAGGUUUUGAUUGUGGGUGUGAUGAUUCUUGCUUUGCUUGCCAGUUUCUAUUUGUACAUUUGAUUACCCUUGCACAUGAAUGGUAAUUUUCCUGCGGGGUUUGGAUUGCAUGUGUUUGUGAUGAUUUGUGUUUUGAUACAUGUGUCUGGUGCUUUUGUAAUUGCUCAUUUCUUGAAGCUGGGCCUACCCUACUAGAGCUUACAAGCCCUGGCACACAAUUGCUGGCAAAAUGCUUCUGCUUGACCCGUCUUGAAACACGGACCAAGGAGUCUAACAGAUGUGCAAGCUUGAGGGUUGCAUACCUUUGUGCGCAAUGAAAGUGUUGGCUGGGAUAUUUGCACCAGCAGCCGACCAAUUAGCAGACAGAGGUUCGAGUUGGAGCAUAUCUAUUAGGACCCGAAAGAUGGUGAACUAUGCCUGAACAGAAUGAAUUCAGAGGAAACUCUGAUGGAGGUUCGUAUCGAUACUGACGUGCAAAUCGUUCGUCAUAUUUGGGUAUAGGGGCGAAAGACUAAUCGAACCAUCUAGUAGCUGGUUCCCUCCGAAGUUUCCCUCAGGAUAGCUGGAGUUGCACAGUUUUAUCAGGUAAAGCGAAUGAUUAGAGGAAUUGGGGACACAUUUGUCCUUGACCUAUUCUCAAACUUUAAAUGGGUAAUCUGUAGUGGUUGCUUUAUGGAACUUCUGAAAUGAAUGGCAAUAUUGGGUGGGCCAUUUUUGGUAAGCAGAACUGGCGAUGAGGGAUGAACCUAAUGUGGGGUUAAGGUGCUUAAUUACUUGCUCAUUUGAUACCAGAAAGGGUGUUGGUUCAUUUUAACAGCAGGACGGUGGUCAUGGAAGUCGAAAUCCGCUAAGGAGUGUGUAACAACUCACCUGCCGAAUGGACUAGCCCCGAAAAUGGAUGGCGCUCAAGCGGGUGACUGAUACCCAACCACUGUUUCAAACAUAUCAGUGUGUAGGAGGGCAUGGUGGUUUGUGACACAGCCUUUGGUGUAAACCUGGGUGAAACAGCUUCUAGUGCAGAUCUUGGUGGUAGUAGC